GGAGAAAGCAGUAAUGUCAAUAAACAAGAUAGUGAGGAAGAGCAAACGAUUGACUUGCAAAGUUGUUCGGAAAUGACGGAAAUGAUCCAACGAAAGAUCGUCAAUACGGAGGCAUUUCCUCAUUUCCGAUCUAUUCUUCAACAUUUUCUUCGUUUUCCAAACGAAAAUAGGGAAGCAAGAAAAAUAUGGGCUCUUGUGGAUGGAGUAAUCCAAAAGAUGACAGUUAUAAGUGCAGAUGGCGAAGAUGUGGAAGAAUUGCGAAAAAGACUCGCUAAGCUUGACAUAACAAUUGACUAGCAG